rnacentral:rRNA from 1 species
CCUACGGGGGGCAGCAGUGAGGAAUAUUGGUCAAUGGUCGGAAGGCUGAACCAGCCAUGCCGCGUGAAGGUCAGUGCCCUAUGGGCGUUAAACUUCUUUUGUGCGGGAGCAAUAAUGGUCACGUGUGGCCAGACGAGAGUACCGUACGAAUAAGCAUCGGCUAACUCCGUGCCAGCAGCCGCGGUAAUACGGGGGAUGCAAGCGUUAUCCGGGUUUAUUGGGUUUAAAGGGUGCGUAGGCUGUGAGGUAAGUCAUCGGUGAAAUGCCCCCGCUCAACGGGGUGAAGUGCCAUUGAUACUGCCUGGCUGGAAUGCGGAUGCCGUGGGAGGAAUUUGUGGUGUAGCGGUGAAAUGCAUAGAUAUCACACAGAACACCGAUUGCGAAGGCAUCUCACGAAUCCGCGAUUGACGCUGAUGCACGAAAGCGUGGGUAUCAAACAGGAUUAGAUACCCUAGUAGUC